UCACUAUUCAUGCACAUAU
rnacentral:snRNA from 1 species